rnacentral:lncRNA from 1 species
CUUGUAGGGGACAAUAAAACAAAUCAAAUGAAAUAAAAGGGAAGUCCCUAGGGGGUCACCCCACCCCCUCUUGUUGGAAAACUUUUAAACGGUCCAGAUCCCCACCCCUAAACCAUAUAUAUUCUUGUAGGGGACAAAAAAACAAAUCAAAUGAAAUAAAAGGGGAAGUCCCUAGGGGGUCACCCCACCCCCUCUUGUUUUGAAAACUUGUAAACGGUCCAGAUCCC